rnacentral:lncRNA from 1 species
GCGGUUGAAGUCAUGGGUGGAGCCCGGCUCCCGUAGGAGUCCGGGCGGAGUCUCCCUUGGAGUCGUAUACGGAGCCCGGCUCCCGUAGGAGUCCGGGCAGAUUUCUCUUGCAAUUAAAGUCAGGUGCGAAGUCUGGCUUCCGUAGGAGUCCGGACGGAGCUUACCAGCAGUUGAAGUUGGCGACAGAGCCCUGCUCCCAUAGGAGUCCGGGCGGAGUCC